UACAGAGGUCUCAAGCGUUGUUCGGAUUCAUUGGGCGUAAAGGGCGCGUAGGCGGCGGGGUAAGUCGGGUGUGAAAUCUCAGGGCUCAACCCUGAAACUGCACUCGAUACUGCUCUGCUUGAGGACUGGAGAGGAGACUGGAAUUCACGGUGUAGCAGUGAAAUGCGUAGAUAUCGUGAGGAAGACCAGUGGCGAAGGCGGGUCUCUGGACAGUUC
rnacentral:rRNA from 1 species